rnacentral:tRNA from 1 species
GGAGGAAUACCCAAGAGGCUGAAGGGGCUAGUCUCGAAAACUAGUAGAGCUUAACGGCUGCGAGAGUUCAAAUCUCUCUUCCUCCGCCA